rnacentral:rRNA from 1 species
UGAGCAACCUGCCCCUGACUCUGGGAUAACCCCGGGAAACCGGAGCUAAUACCGGAUACGACACGCGAAGGCAUCUUCUGCGUGUAGAAAGAUUUAUCGGUCAGGGAUGGGCUCGCGGCCUAUCAGCUUGUUGGUGGGGUAACGGCCCACCAAGGCGACGACGGGUAGCCGGCCUGAGAGGGCGACCGGCCACACUGGGGCUGAGACACGGCCCAGACUCCUACGGGAGGCA